UCUUCGGGAUCUUCAGGGAGUUUGUAGGAGCUAGAACCCCCGGUGUAAUUUAUUGGGAACAAUCAUUAAUGUUUGGUUAAAUAAUCCAGUAUUUCUUCACUCUGGUGCUGAAGGUCCGCUGCGCUGCUCUUUACUGUGUUUCCGCUUUACUCUGUUUUCAUUAAAAGCCUCUCAGUCUUAAAACAGCGGCACUAAAACAGGCGGAGCGGUGGGCCUCCAGCACCAGUAGUGAUUACCCUGCAGGAUUAGAGGAGAGUAGCGCUGAGGAGCUCUUUCAGUCCCGGUGAGUAAUUUAGCUAGUUGACCGUUUCAGCUCUCGGUGAAGCGCGGUCUUCUUAUAAUGCUAAGCUACAGCGUGGUAAGACUAUUUAAAGCGUGUUAAUGGCGAAUAACGCUGUAAGAUAGCUAAUGCUAGCGAGCUAGCGAGUGGAGGAUGGCUGGCUAAGCUAAUUAGCUACAGUUAGCCCGAUUACCUGCAGCAGCUGCUCGUUCAGAAUCAAAACACCCAGCGCUGUUUAAGAGCUGUUUCACGAGCUCCUCUCCCAGCACAGGGUGUGUUUUUUUUUUCUCAAUCAGCAGCUGCUUUUAAACCACGCUGUAGUUCAGUAAUAAGAUCGCGCUUCACCGAGAGCUGAAACAGCCAGUUAGCUAACGCUAGUUAAAAUACCUAACAGGACUGAAAGAGCGCCUCUCGGUUCUCCAGUCUAAUCCUGCGGGGAUUUGGUAGAUAUUUAACUUCUGGGCUCAUUAUUAAUACUGAACUAAAGUAUGAUAAUCUGGUUAAUGUUAAAAAGUGUGCGCAUGCGCCAAAUUUAGCGGCCGUCUGCGCAUGCGCCAAAUUUGGAUUUUAUAUUUUAAAAAAAGGUUGUUGUGGAUUUUACAUGAAGAAAGAGGCCCAGUCCUAGAAGACCCAGCAUCACUCCACCUUCUCCACCCCUACCCGAAAGAGGAAGAUCAGCAGCAGUGGAGGUUUCCAGGAUGUUAAGAGGAGGGCAGAUAUGGGAGAGCAGAGCGGUGAGUCCACAAUGAAUGUGUUUAAGGACAGAGACCCUGUGUGCCCGCUCUCUCUAGGGAAGCUGGAGCAGAAGACGAGGAGGGGUGUUCAGUGUUUGCAGAUUACCGAAAUGAUGAAAUGCUGCCUGAACACUUCUGGACCUUUCUCGUGAGUGGUUUACCCAUGGGACCGAUAAGGUCUGGUCCUUUACAGUGUGGCAGAUUGGAAUCAUCCAAUCCCUUCAACACCAGCUUGGAGAUCACCUCAAAGAAGCUCCAUAUCCCUGUUCACCUGUCUUCUGACCAUCUCUCUGCCAUCUUCUCUGCGACCCCUGGCUAAGUAUACAGUAUGAAACAAACACACACACACCAGUUUGGGUGCACGUAGAAGCAAUUUAACUUUUAUAUUUUCUAAUUGUAUCUCAGAAUUACGUAUUUCCAUUUUGUCUUUAUUUACAUUGUUUAUUAAUUAUAAAUAAUUAUAUAGUAUGUAGUGUUUUGAUGUCUUUGUGCUUUUAUCUGUUUUAUGCUUCUUUUUUUCUUUUAGAUAUAAGCUACAUUUUUGAUGCUUUGUCUUCUUUUCGUUUUUUGGCUUUUUAAAUUGUUCUCUAAAUAAAUGUUUUUCAUUAUUAUUGCUUGUCAGU